rnacentral:rRNA from 1 species
AUCUUAGACAAUGGGCGCAAGCCUGAUCUAGCCAUGCCGCGUGAGCGAUGAAUGCNUUNNGGUUGNANAGCUCUUUCAGUGGGNNNNNUAAUGACUGUACCACCAGAAGCAGCCCCGGCUAACUCCGUGCCAUCAGCCGCGGUAAUACGGAGGGGGCUAGCGUUGUUCGGAAUUACUGGGCGUAAAGCGCACGUAGGCGGAUGGACAAGUCAGAGGUGAAAUCCCAGGGCUCAACCUUGGAACUGCCUUUGAAACUUUCCAUCUUGAGGUCGAGAGAGGUGAGUGGAAUUCCGAGUGUAGAGGUGAAAUUCGUAGAUAUUCGGAGGAACACCAGUGGCGAAGGCGGCUCACUGGCUCGAUACUGACGCUGAGGUGCGAAAGCGUGGGGAGCAAACAGG